rnacentral:rRNA from 1 species
AUUGAACGCUGGCGGCAGGCCUAACACAUGCAAGUCGAGCGAGCGGCGGACGGGUGAGUAAUGUCUGGGGAUCUGCCCGAUAGAGGGGGAUAACUACUGGAAACGGUGGCUAAUACCGCAUACUCUCGGAUGACUCCAUAGUGGAGUAGCUAGUAGGUGGGGUAAAGGCUAACCUAGGCGACGAUGUCUAGCUGGUCUGAGAGGAUGAUCAGCAACACGUGGACUGAGACACGGCCCAGACUCCGACGGGAGGCAGCAGUGGGGAAUAUUGCACAAGGGGCGCAAGCCUGAUGCAGCCAUGCCGCGUGUAUGAAGAAGGCCUUAGGGGUGUAAAGUACUUUCAGCGGGGAGGCGUUACCCGCAGAAGAAGCACCGGCUAACUCCGUGCCAGCAGCCGCGGUAAUAC